rnacentral:rRNA from 1 species
AAUACUCUAUACUCCUGUCUUACAUAAGUUAGAUAGGGAAAGUUUUUCGGUGUAGGAUGAGGCUAUAUUGUAUCAGCUAGUUGGUGAGGUAAUGGCUCACCAAGGCUAUGACGCAUAACUGGUCUGAGAGGAUGAUCAGUCACACUGGAACUGAGACACGGUCCAGACUCCUACGGGAGGCAGCAGUAGGGAAUAUUGCUCAAUGGGGGAAACCCUGAAGCAGCAACGCCGCGUGGAGGAUGACACUUUUCGGAGCGUAAACUCCUUUUGUUAGGGAAGAAUAAUGACGGUACCUAACGAAUAAGCACCGGCUAACUCCGUGCCAGCAGCCGCGGUAAUACGGAGGGUGCAAGCGUUACUCGGAAUCACUGGGCGUAAAGGACGCGUAGGCGGAUUAUCAAGUCUCUUGUGAAAUCCUAUGGCUUAACCAUAGAACUGCUUGGGAAACUGAUAAUCUAGAGUGAGGGAGAGGCAGAUGGAAUUGGUGGUGUAGGGGUAAAAUCCGUAGAGAUCACCAGGAAUACCCAUUGCGAAGGCGAUCUGCUGGAACUCAACUGACGCUAAUGCGUGAAAGCGUGGGGAGCAAACAGGAUUAGAUACCCUGGUAGUCCACGCCCUAAACGAUGUAUACUAGUUGUUGCUAAGCUAGUCUUGGCAGUAAUGCACCUAACGGAUUAAGUAUACCGCCUGGGGAGUACGGUCGCAAGAUUAAAACUCAAAGGAAUAGACGGGGACCCGCACAAGCGGUGGAGCAUGUGGUUUAAUUCGAAGAUACGCGAAGAACCUUACCCGGACUUGAUAUCUAACAAAUCAUCCAGAGAUGGAAGAGUGUCUGCUUGCAGAAAUGUUAAGACAGGUGCUGCACGGCUGUCGUCAGCUCGUGUCGUGAGAUGUUGGGUUAAGUCCCGCAACGAGCGCAACCCACGUCAUUAGU